CCCGCCGCUUUACGGAAGAACCACAAUGAACAGAGUGUUUUUCUUUGUUACCCUUAUUGCUACCGGUCUCGCAGCUCCAAACCGACCUCCUGGUGGCAGCAUCUCGAACACCAACGCGCAAGGAACCAGCGUAGUGCAAAGACCGGAUGGUGGCCUGUCAUUGAAUUUCCUAGCGGGCCUGGCAGCAAACCUACAUGU